AUACGGAGGAUGCAAGCGUUAUCCGGAUUUAUUGGGUUUAAAGGGUGCGUAGGCGGUUUGCUAAGCGGGAGGUGAAAUGCCGGCGCUCAACGGCGGAAGGGCUUCCCGAAAUGGAGGACUGGAAUGAAUCAGCCGUGGGAGGAAUGUCUAGUGGAGCGGUGAAAUGCUUAGAGAUUACACAGAACACCGAUUGCGAAGGCAUCUCACGAAGGGUUGAUUGACGCUGAGGCACGAAAGCGUGGGGAUCAAACAGGAUUAGAUACCCUGGUAGUCCACGCAGUAAACGAUGAUGGCUAACCGCUGGUUUAUUCGGAUCAGUGGCCAAGCGAAAGCGAUAAGCCAUCCACCUGGGGAGUACGACCGCAAGGUUGAAACUCAAAUGAAUUGACGGGG
rnacentral:rRNA from 1 species